GCCGGUCCGAAAUCUGCGCGCGCCAAAACGUUGUUUAUUGCAGUUAAAUGUUUCCUUUAUCGUCGUUUCAGGAGCAUCAAUGGUGGGUUCCAGUCGUCGCCUACGGUGGGUCAUGCGUCUCCUCUUCUCCUUGUUCUCUCUUUUGGGGGCAUGGCCGGUCCGAAAUCUCCUCCUCCAUCCCCACCGCCACCAGUUGGGUCCAGUCUUCCUGUCCGGGGGGUUAAAGGUCCAGUUCCUGCUGCACGGCUACGGCAGGCUCUACUGGAUCCGCCAGCGCAAGACCCGGGCUGAUGAUUGGACCUCCGCCAAAUACUGUCUACUUAUGCCAAUUCCAUUGUCAACUACGUUAACAUUCAAUCGCUAAAUACGAAUUCCUCUCUCUGUCUACUUAUGCCAAUUCCAUUGUCAACUACGUUAACAUUAAAUCGUUAAAUACGAAUUCCUC